rnacentral:lncRNA from 1 species
CCCAUGUCCUUCCCAUGUCCCAUGUAGAUCCCAUGUCCCUCCCGUGUCCAUCCCGUGUCCAUCCCAUGUCCCGUGUAGAUCCCAUGUCCCUCCCAUGUCCAUCCUGUGUCCAUCCCGUGUCCUAUGUCCAUCCCGUGUCCCAUGUAGAUCCCAUGUCCCUCCCAUGUCCAUCCCAUGUCCCUCCCAUGUCCAUCCCGUGUCCAUCCCGUGUCCAUCCCAUGUCCUAUGUCCAUCCCGUGUCCCAUGUAGAUCCCAUGUGCCUCCCAUGUCCCUCCUGUGUCCCUCCUGUGUCCAUCGUAGAUCCCAUGUAAAUCCCAUGUAGAUCCCAUGUCCUUCCCGUGUCCCUCCCGUGUCCAUCCCAUGUCCUUCCCAUGUCCCAUGUAGAUCCCGUGUCCAUCCCAUGUUGCGUGUAGAUCCCAUGUCCUUUCCAUGUCCAUCCCAUGUCCUUCCUGUGGCCUUCCCAUGUAGAUCCCGUGUCCAUCCCAUGUAAAUCCCAUGUAGAUCCCAUGUCC